rnacentral:rRNA from 1 species
GAUGAAGCACCUUCGGGUGUGAAUUAGCGGCGAACGGGUGAGGAACACGUGAGAAAUCUGCCUUCAACACUGGGAUAACUCCGGGAAACCGGGGCUAAUACCGGAUAUGAAACCUGCGGGCAUCCGCGGGUUUGGAAAGUUUUUCGGUUGAAGAUGAUCUCGCGGCCUAUCAGCUUGUUGGUGAGGUAAUGGCUCACCAAGGCGACGACGGGUAGCCGGCCUGAGAGGGCGACCGGCCACACUGGGACUGAGACACGGCCCAGACUCCUACGGGAGGCAGCAGUGGGGAAUAUUGGGCAAUGGAGGAAACUCUGACCCAGCGACGCCGCGUGCGGGAUGAAGGCCUUCGGGUUGUAAACCGCUUUCAGCAGGGAAGAAGCGAAAGUGACGGUACCUGCAGAAGAAGCACCGGCUAACUAUGUGCCAGCAGCCGCGGUAAUACAUAGGGUGCAAGCGUUGUCCGGAAUUAUUGGGCGUAAAGAGCUCGUAGGUGGUUCGUCACGUCGGAUGUGAAACUCUGGGGCUUAACCCCAGACCUGCAUUCGAUACGGGCGAGCUUGAGUAUGGUAGGGGAGUCUGGAAUUCCUGGUGUAGCGGUGGAAUGCGCAGAUAUCAGGAGGAACACCAAUGGCGAAGGCAGGACUCUGGGCCAUUACUGACACUGAGGAGCGAAAGCGUGGGGAGCGAACAGGAUUAGAUACCCUGGUAGUCCACGCCGUAAACGGUGGGCACUAGUUGUGGGGACCUUCCACGGUCUCUGCGACGCAGCUAACGCAUUAAGUGCC